UUCACACACUGAGUUGGUAAGGCCUUAACCAGGCUAAAUUCUAGACAGAUUGUGUUGGCUAGUUUUUCCUAUUUGGACACAAACUACAAUCAUCUGGUAGAGGGAACUUUUACUGAAGAAUUACCUCCAUCAGAAUGACCUAAAGGCACAUCUGCGGAGAAUUAUCUUGAUGACAUGAAGGAGCAUGCUGUACCAGGGACCCCACAGCCAACACACUUUGCCUAGAAUCCAGGGUAGGACUGGCAUUAAAAUCAGAUGAAGCUGGGAAAACAAGAGGUGCUUCCAUGGUUCCUUCCAAGGUUGCUGACUCCCAGAACUGCCAAGCACUGCUAACUAUUGCCUGCGGCUUCUGAUAUUUUCCCCAUGAUGAUCUCUACGGAGAUGCCUGAAGGGUGUUGAAUGUUGGAAGAUGAUUUACACCAGAAAGAGCAACAAAAGACCAAGGAGAAGGAUGUGAUAUUUUCUUUGCGGUAACCUUCUCAAUCACCUGUUUCCACGUUUGAAAUGACCUGUGUUAAAUAGGUCGGUCCUAUUAAAUGUAAAAGCAUGUCACAAA